AACCAACGACCUCGCUUCGGCCAUCUUGGCAUCUUCAUCUUGGCGACCUUGCCUUGCCGUGGAUUGUUUUUAGUUGUUUGUAUUAUUUGUGCUUUUUAAGAAUAUUUUUUUAAUUCGGAUACUUUUAUAAUAGCUUUAAUAGUAUUAUUAACAUAGUGCAUAAAAUGGUGUCCUGUUUUUAACGCAGUUGGAGUAGCAGAAACAAAUGUAGAUAAAAAAAUCUGCAGGAAUAACGUUUCAAUUAUGACAGAAGCUCCAAACAAAUGACUGAAUGAAAAGCCCUAUUAAAAGCUUUCCAGAAGAUCCUGCGAAGAAGACAUGAAGUAUAGAUCAGAUUUGUUAAUAGAGGAGUAUGUUCAAAACACUUUUUAGAAAAAGAUAUUGACAGAACUUCACUUUCAUCUGUUCGUUUGAGAGACUGUGCUGUUCCAAUAGCUUAUGUCACACAGAAUCGGCUGAGAGAAGUGGUCUACAAAAAACCAGAAAGGAAACGGAAUAUGUGGCUACGAAAAGCAAAAGAAAGGUUUACAAAGCAAAUGUGACACAUUUUUUUAUAAUAUUUAGGAAUGUCAGCAAAUUACAUUAAAAAAUGUAUGUAAAGAUUUUUUGCAAUAAAAAUGUUUAUAUUUA